GACGAACGCUGGCGGCGUGCUUAACACAUGCAAGUCGAACGGAAAGGCCCUGCUUUUGUGGGGUGCUCGAGUGGCGAACGGGUGAGUAACACGUGAGUAACCUGCCCUUGACUUUGGGAUAACUUCAGGAAACUGGGGCUAAUACCGGAUAGGAGCUCCUGCUGCAUGGUGGGGGUUGGAAAGUUUCGGCGGUUGGGGAUGGACUCGCGGCUUAUCAGCUUGUUGGUGGGGUAGUGGCUUACCAAGGCUUUGACGGGUAGCCGGCCUGAGAGGGUGACCGGCGACAUUGGGACUGAGGUAGGGCCCAGACUCGAACGGGAGGCAACGGUGGAGAAUAUUGCAAAGUGGGAGGGAGCGUGAUGCAAAGACGCGGCGUGGGGGAUGACGGCCUUCGGGUUGUAAACCGCUUCCGCCUGUGACGAAGCGUGAGUGACGGUAAUGGGUAAAGAAGCACCGGCUAACUACGUG
rnacentral:rRNA from 1 species